rnacentral:rRNA from 1 species
UACGUAGGGUGCAAGCGUUGUCCGGAAUUAUUGGGCGUAAAGAGCUCGUAGGCGGUCUGUCGCGUCGGCUGUGAAAACCCGGGGCUCAACCCCGGGCCUGCAGUCGAUACGGGCAGACUAGAGUGCGGUAGGGGAGACUGGAAUUCCUGGUGUAGCGGUGAAAUGCGCAGAUAUCAGGAGGAACACCGGCGGCGAAGGCGGGUCUCUGGGCCAUAACUGACGCUGAGGAGCGAAAGCGUGGGGAGCGAGCAGG